AUAAUAUUCAAAUAUACAAUGAAGAAUAAAGAUAACUCUACAUAGUUGUCAGAACAGAUUUGUCUACGAACUCCAGUAUUAUCGCCAUAAACAUGAGAAGCGAAUUGCCGGUAAUGAUUUCGCCAAUUGUUAUUGGAAGUUUACUGGAUGGUAUUGGGGGCCUCUGGCCUGUAAUAUGGUCAUGGCCGUCUAGGCGAAUCACCCCAGGGCCUUAUACUGGACCUUACUCUGUCUGACUCACAUAGUUCCAGUGGUUCUCCGCUGUUUGUUAUUCCACGUGAUUUAUCUCUUUUUUUCCUAUUGAAUAUACGUAAUAAACAUAAAAAUAAUCGUUUCUUGCAAGUAAAUAAUACGAAUUUAAACAUGAGUUUUUGAUACUUAAUGAUAAUUUCAUAUCGCGUUAUAAAAUCAUAUUGUAAAUAAUAAAUAUGUUAAAUAAGUAUUUAUUAUUUACAAUAUGAUUUCAUAAUUAUAAUAUGUUUAUAUUAAUAUCUUCAUAACAAUUUUUGUAGUAACUGAUUAUCAAAGUAAUUGUAAAGAUAUGAAUGUAUAUGAUCAUGAUAAAAGAUAUACAUACACGACCUCAAUCAAAGAAGCUCCAACUCUAUGAGUAAUCACAUUUAAACAAUGAAAGAAGAAUAAACAAUUCAAUUGCAUCGCAUUGAAGAACAAUCACACUAAAGGUUUAUCUGGAAAUUUCAAUGCUUCUUCGAUUGAAGGACAGCGGAAGGUCCUUAGUCGCAGGUGCGAUAUACAUAUUACGCGACUUUCUUUCGUAAAUCGGUUUAAAGUAACAUUGAGCUGAUAUUUUUCUCAUUCCGCUUAUAAUUUGAAUUCGCGAUACACGAUUACUUAUUGUUAUUAAGACUCGUUUGUUUGUAAAAAUAUAAUAGAAAAUUAUAUUGUAUAAAAAUGAGCCAACAAACUUGUAAGAUAUAAAAUUAGCAAAAAUUAGCAAAAUUGAUAGUUCUAACUUUCAAACAAAGAGCAUAAUUACAUAUUUUUGCGAAAUAUCGUGAAACAUAGGUAGAAAAUAAUAAGGUUUUUAUUAAAAAAAAAAGGACUAAGAAUCGAUUGAACUAGCAAACGAUUCGGUGGUUGGUUAUUCUUCACGUUACACGAGCAAGAUACCAUUUUAAUCGGUAUGCACAGUCUGGAAAUCUGAACUGAUCACGCGUGUCCAUGGAGUCGAAGCGGACUUGAUAAAUUUAAAAUAAAAUUGAUCCAACCAUUUGGCGCGCUGCCCUGACCCAGUUCGAGUUCUGCUCCCGUCUCCAGUGAACAGAACAAGACGACGAACACCAAGAAUCGCCUCAGGGAAUCGCCGCCCUCUGCGCCGGGAAAUCGUCGCGAACAUUGGAGAACUGUAUUAAUCUCAGGCGAGAUUAAGAAGUUUUAUAUACGACAGGUGGUAUACUGAAAUAGACAAAGAGGCGGUAUAGCCAUACAUGGUACCAGCCGCACUUGACCUAUAUCUUAUUAUGCUGGCAGCGUCCGGAUGCAAUGCGAAGCGUUUGUGAAUAAGCCCGCCGGGUCUCUUCGAGGUUACCGAGGUUCACCACCACCAUAAAGAAGUCCUUCCUUCCUGUAGCAGUCGUCUCGAUAUCCCGGCUUCCGCGACAGACGCAGACAAGGUCCAAGUAGUCGAGGAGUUCGCGUCGCUCUUCUAGUUUUACGUUUUUUCCAAACGCAGUCCACUGAACGUAACGAUUUUGAAUGGAAAUCUUUCUUACUCAUCGGUGUCAAUAUUUACUUUUACGUGUAAGAUAUUGGAACUGUGCUUCUUACGGU
rnacentral:lncRNA from 1 species